rnacentral:tRNA from 1 species
GUCGCGAUGGCGGAAUUGGUAGACGCGCACGGUUCAGAGCCGUGUAUCCGCAAGGAUGUGUGGGUUCGACUCCCACUCGCGGCA